UACAGAGGGUGCGAGCGUUAAUCGGAAUUACUGGGCGUAAAGCGCACGUAGGCGGCUUGGUAUGUCGGGUGUGAAAUCCUCGGGCUCAACCUGGGAACUGCAUCCGAAACUGCCUUGCUAGAGUAUGGGAGAGGGAAGUGGAAUUUCCGGUGUAGCGGUGAAAUGCGUAGAUAUCGGAAGGAACAUCAGUGGCGAAGGCGACUUCCUGGACCAAUACUGACGCUCAGGUGCGAAAGCGUGGGGAGCAAACAGG
rnacentral:rRNA from 1 species